GGAAGGCUGGCUCAACGGUACAGCAGCGGGUUGCUAACCCGCCGUCGCGAUAAGCGGCUUGCAGGUUCGAAUCCUGCGCCUUCCGCCA
rnacentral:tRNA from 1 species